rnacentral:lncRNA from 1 species
AGGAGAUGUGUAUUGUAAUGUUUCUAAAAGUUCAAUGAUCUGCUCCCAAGUUACAAUCAAACCUUGGUUUUUUUAUAAGUUUAACCAAGCUUUCGACACAUUUUUCUUGUGAUGGAGAAUCUCCUUUCUAAACAUUUGUCCCAUUUUAGCCGAAUACUACUUUAGCCCUUUACAAAGUUUCCUUCUUGUACUCACCCUAAUUUCACAAAUGUAGGUUCUUGGUCCCACAUUCAGGUGCCAAAAUGUAGUGUUCUCUUGUUUGGUUUCCUUGGGGUCUCUGGGAGCAGCCUUCAUUUCAGUUCAGUAAUCACCACAAGAACAGCCAGGUGUUAAAGUCCAAAUCCUUUAUUAUCUCUUUCAAAGUCUUGUCUCCUUGCUUGGGGCCCAGUUAGCUUUCUUAUAGUCCAGAUACUUUAUUAUCUCCUUCCUGGGGCUGGGAAACUUUAUGGAAAGCCUUUCAGACAGGCCUUGGUCUCAGUGGGGGAAGUGCAGGAGUCCAGGCCAGCCAGCCGGAAGGUCGAAGAUCUAAUUGAAUUUCUCCCCUUGGUUCUGAGAGUUUAAGCUCCUGCCACCUGUCCUUUGUCUUCUCUGCCUCUGAAUUUCUCUGAAUGAAUCCUGGCUGAAGCUCCUAACUUAUAUGCUCUACACUGAGUAUAAACCAAUCAUUAUAUCACUAGGAAACCAUUAUUUGUUGUAAGAUUAAAUCUAUCAUAAUGAGCCAUACUAAAUUAAAUAACUAUUGUUUCUAUCAAUUCCACUGACUUAGCACCUUGUAAGAAUCCUUUGUUUCAAGUUCAGAGUUCUGACCCAUAACACACACACACACACACACACACACACACCAAUCAGUCAGUGACAACAAAAUUUCUGAGACAGUAAUGAGGUGUAUACCAGAUCACUCCUCAACUCCACCUCUAAGCCACAAAAUUAACGUCUCAGUGACAUAAAGCACCUACUCUCUCUUUUUCUUAUAAAUUUAUCUUCUUAAUCUUGGUUCUUUGCUAAUUUUGUUUUUUGAAACUUAGCCCACUUUAAUUGGUGUUACAAUUAUAAUAAACUUUCUCCCUUGACUUGGAGAUGGGUUCAAGCCCGCUUUUGAGACCCCUGGUGAUCCCAGUAUGGGACCCUAACAUUUUUGAGGUCCUCCUUGAAUACCAACAGUAAGGGUGAGGACGGCCACUCUGGCAAGAAGUUGACAUGAGAGGAGCCGACUGUUUCCAUCUUGUCUUUGUUCCCCUUUGGAUAUUCUAGAAACUUUGGGAAAGUUCUUAUUUGGGUGAGAAAUGGGACUCUUUUUAUUGAGCUGAGUCACUUCUCUUCUAAUGGGAGAGCUCCUUCAUUUUGUAAGGAGGAGAAAGAGACUUCCCUUUGAGACCCAAAAGUCACACCCCAGUGUUCCAUGGAGGAACAUCCCUUGCUACAUGUGGGAGUUCUGUCCAUAGGAAUAUGGUUUCUUAGUUAUGCAAGAAGUCUUGGUUUUGGGUUUGCUACUUUCUCUAAAAAGCUAGGACAAUUUUCUUUCUAUUCAGUGCUCCUUCAGUAUUUGAUUUUCUUAAAAGCAUUUCUUGGUGUUCUAAAUGGUGCUACAUAAGUACAUAUACACAUACACAUGUAUACAUAAACAUAUACAUACAUACACACACAUACAUACACAUAUUUAAAGUCUAAUUUGCUUCAGGCUUCUGAAAAAGCUCCAAUCUUUAUAUCCAUAAAAACCAUUGUUUUAGAUUUGUUAAAACUUUUGCUGGGCUGGAAUAAGUACAAAUAACUGUUUUUGGUAUACAGUAUGGUAUUUUUUACAUUAGUAAACUGAAAUAUUUCCUGACAAAAUAUAGAAGGAGAAUUCUUUCCUAGAUGAAUUUUGCGUGUGUGUGUAUGUGUGUGUGUGUGUGUGUGUGUGUGUGUGAAUGAAUGAAUGAAUGAAUCCUGAUGCCAUUUUCUUUUCUUAUAAUUUUGCUUAACCCAUUACUUUGAAAUGUUGUUGCCUUAUGCAAACAUUCGGAAACUUAGGAAACUUCCUUGAAUUAGAAAGAAAGUUGUUGGUAUAGUUUUUCCACUGUGGUCAGUCAGUUUCUGUAUCUGAAGAUUUUUGCUUCCUCUUCUGGAAGGGGGAAGCACUUUUCUUUCAUUUUUCUCUUCAUGGAAAAUAGUUAAUUUUUUUGAGUCCCAGAUAAUUUCUUUUUUGCUUAUAUCCUGGAAUUGUUGUUACUGGAAUUUUUAUCUUGCUUUACUGGUUUUUGAAGAUGUAAGGAGUUUAUCCAAACUGACUUGGCUUUGUCCUACUUUUGUGCAAUUGCAAUUUUAAAAGAAAUCAUAUUUCUGGGUUCUCUUUGUUAAAUAAAGGAAACUUAGGAAAAGGAACAUAAAAGUAUUUUAUUAACUCAGCCCAGCAUGGAUUUAAAACUACUACAGAUUUUAUAAUGGAGUAAAUAACCUCCAUAUUGUAAGAAAGAAAAUGUCUUACCAAGAACUUCACUGAGUCACUGAUGAAUCUGAUGAGGUUUAGAUUUGGGGAACCCAAAUGAAAUUAGGGUUUCUGGUGGUCAAGGAGUUAAAUGAGGUCUAGGGGCAGGUUCAGGGUUCAAGGAGUCAAAUGGAGCUCCCCCGCAACCCCUCAGUAUUUGGCACAAGGAUGCGAAGUUAAAUGAGGUUCUCUGUACAGCAAGCAGUUCUCUGUAAAGGAAUUUACAUACCUGAAAACCUAGAUUGAUAAAAGAGGUUUAUUAUAGGGAUUGGAAGUAAGGUUAGAAAUCCUGACAGAAAGGCAUAAAGUCUGUUAGGGAAAUAGGUGAGGAUAAGGAAAGGAUGGCACUGGAAACAAUAUUCCAGUGGGUAGAGACCCUUGGUGUGCCAAGCGUAGGCUGCCAUGUUUGGAACCUCUACAAAGAGAGAUUUUUAGUUUGACUCUUUUAUAAUAGGGGACUUUGGCUACAAGCUGAAGGGGGCUUAUGGGUAGAGUCCCAGGUUGGCUUCUCGCUGGGUUUUAGCUAGGGCUAAAAUUUGAAUUGAAUUCAACGGGUUUUAGGACUGAGCCCACCCAGAAAACAAACAUGAAACUGUUUAUGCUUGGGGUGGAGUCCCCUCACUGACUGGCAGAGUCGAAGGAGGUUUUCUCCUUUAAGGAUUGUCAGUUUUAGGGUUCCCUCUUCAAAUCUAUGAAAUGGAUCACAAAAACUGGCUAAGCUAAGCAGAGUUUUGAAAUGCAAAGACAAUCUUCUGUUUUGUAUUUAGUGCAAAUCCCUCCCCUGAUUUCCCACCCGUUGAGUGAUGUGAAGGUUCAGAUCAUGAAUCUCCACAUAUAAUUGCAUCAUUAGGUCUUCUCCCCACUCGAUCCCCCACGUGAGUGUAAAUCUUCUCCUUUGAUUGCCCCAUUACAUUUGCCCCCCCCAUAAGUGAUUCUUCACCUCUAGUUACAUUUUACAAUACUGCUUCCAUUCUAAGUCUCUGCCUUACAUUUUCCUUUCUUUUAAAGGAAUCUCCCAUUCCUAAUUGUAUUUUCCUUUUAAAAAAUAUUUUCUUUUUUGCAUCCUAGCUUUCCGUUUCUUCAGUUUCAAUUUUCUAAAUUGUUUCAUUCAAUUUUCGUAACUGUGGAAACUAAACUCCCAUCUAAUUCCUACAAUAUGAAAGCAAAAAUAUGUUGAUUGUUGCAAGUAAAAUGAGGAGAUGAGAUUACUGUGACCCCAGUUUGUCCCUCAUCACAUAAUUUGGAAAGAUGGGAUUAGUGCACAUGUUUGGGGUAUUUCCAGACCACCAUCUCCAGCAGACUGGCUGCCCACAUGUCCAAAAUUUAAGCAAGGCUUUAAACAUGAGGUUACUCAAACAGACUGCACUUAUCUGUCACCCCAUUAUCUGACCAUUUUGCCCUGUUUUGUUCAUGACAAAGAAGGGAUACCCUUACGGGAUAGCAUAGCUAUAGUUGGGGUGAAAACUAGAAAAUGGUACUAAUUUUCUCCUAAUUUACUAUAAAGGAUUGUUGAGGAAGAAAUGAUAAGUAGUUUAAAGAUAGGUAUCAGGUCCAUAGUGCAUAGAGAACAGUUUAAAAAAAAAGCAAAAUUACAAUGGAGUGAAUAAAGAGAUCCAAUAUAGCUGUAGCUUUAGGGGUAUCAUUAGAAAUUAAGAUAAUACCUACCUGUUUGGAACUAUGCUCAAAAAGUUAUCAAACUGUGCAUACCCUUUGAUCCAGCAGUGUUACUACUGGGAUUAUAUCCCAAAGAGAUUAUAAAGAAGGGAAAGGGACCUGUAUGUGCACGAAUGUUUGUGGCAGCCCUUUUUGUAGUGGCUAGAAACUGGAAACUGAAUGGAUGUCCAUCAGUUGGAGAAUGGCUGAAUAAAUUAUGGUAUAUGAAUAUUAUGGAAUAUUACUGUUCUGUAAGAAAUGACCAACAGGAU